AAUAAAAGCCUAAUAUGCUAAGUGUCUGGUUGUCCAGUCAUCUGUUCAACCAAUCAAAGCAUAAUAUGCUAAUGAUAUGCUAAGGUCACUCAACCACUCGCUAUGAUAUUCACUGACCACCAGAGGGCAGAAGCUCUGACUGGAAGGUUAGCUUAUUGCUGGGUCAGGCCAAUCAGG